UACGGAGGGUGCAAGCGUUAUCCGGAUUCACUGGGUUUAAAGGGUGCGUAGGCGGGUUGGUAAGUCCGUGGUGAAAUCUCCGAGCUUAACUCGGAAACUGCCGUGGAUACUACUGAUCUUGAAUGUCGUGGAGGUAAGCGGAAUAUGUCAUGUAGCGGUGAAAUGCUUAGAUAUGACAUAGAACACCAAUUGCGUAGGCAGCUUACUACACGAUUAUUGACGCUGAGGCACGAAAGCGUGGGGAGCAAAC
rnacentral:rRNA from 1 species